GCAGGAUGUGAGGUUUUCGGAUCUCACAUGGAUGGCGAGUGGCGGACGGGUGAGUAACGCGUAGGAAUCUACCCUAGAGACUGGGAUAACCCGAGGAAACUGGGGCUAAUACCGGAUGACCCCUGAUGGGGAAAGGAUGGGACUCUGAAAGGAGCCAUGCACUGUAGGAAGAGCCUGCGUCUGAUUAGCUAGUUGGUUAGGUAAAGGCUGACCAAGGCGAUGAUCAGUAGCUGUUCUGAGAGGAAGAUCAGCCACACUGGGACUGAGACACGGCCCAGACUCCUACGGGAGGCAGCAGUGGGGAAUAUUGGACAAUGGGGGCAACCCUGAUCCAGCGAUGCCGCGUGUGUGAAGAAGGCCUUCGGGUUGUAAAGCACUUUUGUGGGAGAAGAAUAUUAACUCUCGAAUAGGGAGUUGAGAUGACGUUAUCCCAAGAAUAAGCACCGGCUAACUCUGUGCCAGCAGCCGCGGUAAUACAGAGGGUGCAAGCGUUAAUCGGAUUGACUGGGCGUAAAGGGCGCGUAGGUGGUUAUUUAAGUUGGUUGUGAAAGCCCUGGGCUUAACCUAGGAGUUGCAAUCAAGACUGGAUAGCUAGAGUACGGUAGAGGGGAGUGGAAUUUCCGGAGUAGCGGUGAAAUGCGUAGAUAUCGGAAGGAACACCGGUGGCGAAGGCGGCUCCCUGGGCCUGUACUGACACUGAGGCGCGAGAGCAUGGGUAUCGAACAGGAUUAGAGACCCUGGUAGUCCAUGCUGUAAACGAUGAAGACUAGAUGUUGGCUGGGAGACUGGUCAGUAUUGAAGCAAACGCGAUAAGUUUUCCGCCUGGGGAUUACGACCGCAAGGUUAAAACUCAAAGGAAUUGACGGGGGCCCGCACAAGCGGUGGAGCAUGUGGUUUAAUUCGAUGCAACGCGAAGAACCUUACCUACCCUUGACAUGUCUGGGAUCUUGCAGAGAUGCGAGAGUGCCGAAAGGAACCAGAAGACAGGUGCUGCAUGGCUGUCGUCAGCUCGUGUUGUGAGAUGUUGGGUUAAGUCCCGUAACGAGCGCAACCCUUGUUCUUAGUUACCAGCGCGUAAAGGCGGGGACUCUAAGGAGACUGCCGGUGAUAAGCCGGAGGAGGGUGGGGACGAUGUCAAGUCAUCAUGGCCCAUAUGGGUAGGGCUACACACGUGCUACAAUGGUCGGUACAAAGGGAGGCGAAGCUGAGAAGUGGUGCGAAUCCCAGAAAGCCGAUCGUAGUCCGGAUUGAAGUCUGGAACUCGACUUCAUGAAGAUGGAAUCGCUAGUAAUCGCGAAUCAGCAUGUCGCGGUGAAUACGUUCCCGGGCCUUGUACACACCGCCCGUCACACCAUGGGAGUGUGUUGUACCAGAAGAGGG
rnacentral:rRNA from 1 species